rnacentral:rRNA from 1 species
CCUGGCUUAGGAUGAACGCUAGCGACAGGCCUAACACAUGCAAGUCGAGGGGCAGCGCGUUGAAGCUUGCUCAGAUGGCGGCGACCGGCGCACGGGUGCGUAACAGGUGUGCAAUCUGUCCAUAGUCGGGGGAUAGCCCAGCGAAAGCUGAAUUAAAACUCCAUGUGAAUCGAAGCCGCAUGACUUUGAUUUGAAACGCAAGGACUAUGGGUGAGCACGCUUCUGAUUAGGUAGUUGGUGAGGUAACGGCUCACCAAGCCGACGAUCAGUAGGGGUUCUGAGAGGAAGGUCCCCCACAUUGGAACUGAGACACGGUCCAAACUCCUACGGGAGGCAGCAGUGAGGAAUAUUGGUCAAUGGACGAGAGUCUGAACCAGCCAAGUCGCGUGAAGGAAUGAAGGUUCUAUGGAUUGUAAACUUCUUUUGUCCGAGGGUAAAGUGAGCCACGUGUGGUUUAUUGCAAGUAUCGGACGAAUAAGCAUCGGCUAACUCCGUGCCAGCAGCCGC